rnacentral:rRNA from 1 species
GAUGAACGCUGGCGGCGUGCCUAAUACAUGCAAGUCGAGCGAAUGGAUUAAGAGCUCGCUCUUAUGAAGUUAGCGGCGGACGGGUGAGUAACACGUGGGUAACCUGCCCAUAAGACUGGGAUAACUCCGGGAAACCGGGGCUAAUACCGGAUAACAUUUUGAACCGCAUGGUUCGAAAUUGAAAGGCGGCUUGGGCUGUCACUUAUGGAUGGACCCGCGUCGCAUUAGCUAGUUGGUGAGGUAACGGCGCACCAAGGCAACGAUGCGUAGCCGACCUGAGAGGGUGAUCGGCCACACUGGGACUGAGACACGGCCCAGACUCCUACGGGAGGCAGCAGUAGGGAAUCUUCCGCAAUGGACGAAAGUCUGACGGAGCAACGCCGCGUGAGUGAUGAAGGCUUUCGGGUCGUAAAACUCUGUUGUUAGGGAAGAACAAGUGCUAGUUGAAUAAGCUGGCACCUUGACGGUACCUAACCAGAAAGCCACGGCUAACUACGUGCCAGCCGCCGCCGUAA